ensembl:lncRNA
CCUGGAAAAGAGCAGCUCCAACUACAUGUUUUUUUUCCCAGUUAGCCCAAACUUGCUGUUUAACCCCUUUCUCACCAAAGGCUGCCAAGUUCCCAGGAGCAUGGCUAAGACAGAUGGCCACAACCUCUUCAGAAAAUUGAAGUGGCAUUCAAUUGGUUUUUUUUUGUUUGUUUGUUUGUUUUUCGGUGGAAAAACAGCAUUUAGGAUCCUUCAGCACUUUUUGAGAAUCUGCACGGCAGUGUUCAGCUGAGCAGUACGUGCAUACUGUUUGCAACCAGCCAUUUAGGUGGCUUGAAAAUACAUCAGCAAAAGGCAGCAUAUGGAAAAUUCUGAUUGGAAACAUAUGGGAUGUUACAUCAGAAACAGUCUUUUCUUCCUCUGUGGACGAUGAUUUGCUCCACUAAGAACUGUUUGGGGAUACAGCAGGGAAAAUAAAUUUCCUUUUUAGCAGUGCAGCGCCUCAGCCCUGUGGAUCAAUAACUUCAGUAGGACUGUGUUCUCCACCACUGGCAGCACACAACCACCUUUUGCCACCUAUGACUUACUUAUCGUGAAUCACUUAUUUCCUAUUACUAAUUACUCAACGAAAGUGCUUAGUUAUGUAUUAGGCACAGCUCUCUUUUUCAAGUCCUUGACACCACCUGCACAUCACCAGCUCUGAAUCAGCGUUCACAGCCCUCAGCUCAGGUCGUCACUGGGUGUAAAAUGGGACUGUUACAGUAAGACAAUUUCUUAUAUUUUCCUUCCUAAAGCUAAUUGUUUGAAUCAUUUCUCACUUCGUGUCCUACCAGUAACCGGCUGCAUUUGCUUUCCCUGCCUGUGAAUGUGUUUGUUUGCUACUGCCAAGGACACAAAGGGAAGCUACUGCUGCAAGAGGGACAAGAAUGCUACGUUACAUUCCAUUCCAGCUCGCAUGGCGCACAGCCCUGCUGGGGUCUCUCUGGGUCUAUGACAACCUGCCAGGAGCAGGAUGGCCAGCACUGUGUUGGGAACAUCUGUGUCAGAUGUUACGCCUUCCAGCACAACCAAAAGUGCAGCAGAAACCACUCAGUCCUAUUUUCAGUGACAGAUGGUGACCCGACGUCCUUACUCUGCCCAGAUCGCCACCUGAAGAAGGUGAAAGAAGUUGCGCUCGAAGCUUCAUUACACCGCUUUGAUGCUGAAGUAAGAAUUCCCACAGCGAAGAUGGUAAUACUUUCUUCUGUUUGUGAAAUUACCUCCAUUUGGAGGAGUAAUUUGAUGUUGAGAAGGAAAGCAAACAAUUACCGCAACCUCAUCCUGCAGUGCAAGUAUUUUCAUGCUUUUUCUGCCUCCUGACUGCAAAGACAAUAUUUACAUAUGCAUACAAAUCAUAUCAUGUAUUUAACUAACACUAGAACUGCAACAAUUGAAACCGCCAUGAUAUUCAGUUGAUAUUUAAAACCUUGAUCAUAGAAUCAUCGAAUGGCUUAUGUUGGGAGGGACCUGAAAGAUCACCAAGCUCCAACCCCUCUGCCAUGGGCUGGCUGCCCCCCACCAGCUGAGGCU